rnacentral:lncRNA from 1 species
CCCUGGUCACUGUCUCUGGCCCUGAUCCUGACCUGGACUUGCGGCUCUGCAUCCCAGCUCCUUGUUGCUGAGGUCACCACUGGCACCUGCCCUGCUACCACACUCUGCUCCUGGCUCACCUUCUUUUGCGGAGCAGCCAGCCCUCGCUGCUACCUGACAACUGUUGAGCACAACUUAUCCAGGCAUCUGUCUCAGCUAGGGAAGAAGAACCAGAACUGUCCAGCUCUGAAUAUAAUGUUACUGAAUCCUGAAUGCAUGACUCUCGAUCUGGUUCCUGUUCCGGAAAUCUCAAGCUCAUGGCCUUAUUCAAGGAGUGUGAGGAAGCAUGUAAAAAAGUGGAUGGGAAAGAAAACCAUGCAACAGAUAAAUAAUUCAUCUUACUACAGUGCUGAUCAGCCGCCUGGGGGGAUAACAAAUGUAUGAGACCUGGAGAAUUUCUAUCUUUCCUAAUGAAAAGAAGAUUUUGAAUAACCAUAGCAACAGUAAAACCUGCUGUGAAUCUUACAGCACCAAGUGUUGCAGGUAUCUACCUCUGGGGAUCAAGGGUUAGUCAAAAUAAGGGGAUCUCUUUUGCUGCCUCCCCC